GCGGCGAUAGCAGAAACUGUCAACACUGUCAUCAAUGUAACGGUAUUUUUCUCCAAGGGACGCGCUGGAUGGUUGUUCGCGAAGUGUUUCUACUGUUUUUCCGAUAAUCACAACGUUUGCAGCAUGGAUUACCAAAACCAUGCCAGUGACAACACCGGCGGUGCAGGCGAGAGCAAGUGGUACCGGCGUGAACGAUUGCACCAGCUAGCGCCGGAAAAGAUCGAUCUGAACCAGGAUAAAAUGAUGCAGCAUCUGACCUACAGUCAUGGCAAAAAUCAUCAAGCCAAUUUGGCACAUCGUGCCGCGAAACAAGCGAAGGAAGCACCGUGAGUUGUACGACCGGAAAAACCACGCAUCGAGCCGAAAAAGUUCGCCAAGAUCGAUCGCCCCGGUUAUCAGGUGACGAAGCAGCACGAUCGGGAGAAUGGCCAACAGUCCUUGUCUUCCAAAGCGACUAUCCGGAAUUUACGGACGGUAUUGUACCAUCCGUUGUGAUUGUAGAAUCAGUUUAUGUUCGUUUACGAACCACCAUCGAAAAGAUCGACCACCAGUCAAACACGAGAAGACGAGCUUCCGCCAAUUUCCACCAUGAAACGCAUGGCGCUAGCAUCGGCGACAGCACGAACUGUCAGUGCUGUCAUCAAUGUCAAGCCAUUUGUCUCCAAGGGACGCGCUGGAUGGUUGUUCGCGAAGUGUUUCUACUGUUUUUCCGAUAAUCACAACGUUUGCAGCAUGGAUUACCAAAACCAUGCCAGUGACAACACCGGCGGUGCAGGCGAGAGCAAGUGGUACCGGCGUGAACGAUUGCACCAGCUAGCGCCGGAAAAGAUCGAUCUGAACCAGGAUAAAACGAUGCAGCAUCUGACCUACAGUCAUGGCAAAAAUCAUCAAGCCAAUUUGGCACAUCGUGCCGCGAAACAAGCGAAGGAAGCACCGUGAGUUGUACGACCGGAAAAACCACGCAUCGAGCCGAAAAAGUUCGCCAAGAUCGAUCGCCCCGGUUAUCAGGUGACGAAGCAGCACGAUCGGGAGAAUGGCCAACAGUCCUUGUCUUCCAAAGCGACUAUCCGGAAUUUACGGACGGUAUUGUACCAUCCGUUGUGAUUGUAGAAUCAGUUUAUGUUCGUUUACGAACCACCAUCGAAAAGAUCGACCACCAGUCAAACACGAGAAGACGAGCUUCCGCCAAUUUCCACCAUGAAACGCAUGGCGCUAGCAUCGGCGACAGCACGAACUGUCAGUGCUGUCAUCAAUGUCAAGCCAUUUGUCUCCAAGGGACGCGCUGGAUGGUUGUUCGCGAAGUGUUUCUACUGUUUUUCCGAUAAUCACAACGUUUGCAGCAUGGAUUACCAAAACCAUGCCAGUGACAACACCGGCGGUGCAGGCGAGAGCAAGUGGUACCGGCGUGAACGAUUGCACCAGCUAGCGCCGGAAAAGAUCGAUCUGAACCAGGAUAAAACGAUGCAGCAUCUGACCUACAGUCAUGGCAAAAAUCAUCAAGCCAAUUUGGCACAUCGUGCCGCGAAACAAGCGAAGGAAGCACCGUGAGUUGUACGACCGGAAAAACCACGCAUCGAGCCGAAAAAGUUCGCCAAGAUCGAUCGCCCCGGUUAUCAGGUGACGAAGCAGCACGAUCGGGAGAAUGGCCAACAGUCCUUGUCUUCCAAAGCGACUAUCCGGAAUUUACGGACGGUAUUGUACCAUCCGUUGUGAUUGUAGAAUCAGUUUAUGUUCGUUUACGAACCACCAUCGAAAAGAUCGACCACCAGUCAAACACGAGAAGACGAGCUUCCGCCAAUUUCCACCAUGAAACGCAUGGCGCUAGCAUCGGCGACAGCACGAACUGUCAGUGCUGUCAUCAAUGUCAAGCCAUUUGUCUCCAAGGGACGCGCUGGAUGGUUGUUCGCGAAGUGUUUCUACUGUUUUUCCGAUAAUCACAACGUUUGCAGCAUGCAUUAUCAAAAUCAUGCCAGUGACAACACCGGCGGCGUAGGCGAGAGCAAAUGGUACCGGCGUCAACGAUUGCACCAGCUAGCGCCGGAAAAGAUCGAUCUGAACAAGGAUAUCUACUAAGAUCCAACGAGGGCAUCAUCUGUCCUACCCGCGAGGUGAAAAGCAUCAGGUCAAUCUGGCUCAUCGUGCCGUGAAAGAAAGGAAGGGAGCACCGUCGUUGAUAAAACUGGGAAAGAAACGAAUCGAUCCGAAAAAGUGUGUUAAGAUCGGUACCGCGGCUUCGGUUUAUUUCCGCUUAGGUACAAAAAAUCGUAACUGGACCGUGCCACUGAAAGAAAAACACAAAAUGAAUUUUCCUACAGUUUUCUUAACGCCGGAAGCGAAGAAAAUUCCGCCACCGAAUGAGCACCGUAAGUUGAUAUUUAAUCCGGUUCCGCCACCGCCGACAAACGUAAAGCGAGUGCAAAUUGACUAACGUCCGGAUGUGGAUGUAAAACUGAUGUAAAAUCAUAAUUUACAAUAAUAAAAUGUUCCUAUGU